UAUUUCAACGAGUCAUAAAAGCACCAAAGAGGAGAGAGAAUGAGCAUCGUGGAGGCGAUUUUUGAGCGAUUUCAUAUUUAAAAUUUUCUCUUUGUUUUUACUUUCAUGGCGGCUAAUCCGACCUCUUCUGCUUAAUAUGUUGAGAAGAUUUUGAUACAAUCUCAUGUAAUAAUCAAUUAACACCAUAUACAAUCGAUUUUCCUUCUCUUGAGGAAUCUUACGGUAAUAAAGGAGGAAUGAGAGUAAACCCUAGAAGUGAACUAAAGAAGGAAUGUGAUGAUAAACCAUCACAGAUUUCCAUCAACACUGAGAUUAUUGUACAUGUAUUGGAAGAUAUUGAUAAAAAUUCAGUUGUGAAGGGAAACAAUGAAAUUAAAACGAUUCAAGAAUGAAGAGGUUUAUUCGCUCCUAUGAAGUUUACUCCUCCUGUUGAAGUAAAUGGAAAACUACAAGUGAAAGCUCAAUCAAACGAUCUCACAGCAGGCAUGAAAUUAUGUGAAAACAAACUGGUGGUAUAUUUUAUGGGAAAGCGGCCUUCUUUUGAGGCAAUGAAACUUGCAAUGACCAAGCUCUGGCACAUUAAAAAAGAGUGGAAUAUCGAUGGAAGCCUUCACGGUGUGAGGUUUGUAUGGCUUUUGGGCACUCUUCAAAGAUUUGUUCAAAGAAAAAGAAUACUAGAUGGACCCCGAAGAAAAUUUGCAAUACACUGCCGGUUGAAGAUUUUAUGGAAGAUAAGAGAAUUUCCAGUUAAGUAGAAGGAGAAUUUAGGCUGGGGUCGAUUGAUAAGGAGGCAUAAAAUGUUAGUAGAUGUGAUGAAACUUUAUGCACUGAGCGCAAGGAUGGUAGCCAUUCUCGAGAUGUUAUCUGCACCACUUUAGCUGAUGCUAAUAGAGCUAGAGGGGUUGUUAAUAUUUCCAAGGGUGCAUUAGUGAAACAAGGUGCAAAGUUUACAAAGGUUAACAAUAAACUUAAACAGCAGCAUGUUUUAGUGCCGAACCACGUAAAUCAGCGUCUCAUUUACUUUCUGCACUUACAUUUUCAUCGUCUUAUUUAUAUUUAGUGUCUUUAUCAACGACAUUUAAGUCAGAUCAUGCACUCUCAUUAUGUUUGAUUCUUUAAGUACUUGCAUAACGACGAUAGGCUUCAAGGCAUGCCAUCGUCUCUUCUUAUUUGCUCACAUAUCACUAAUUUGUUAGAUCUAACAUGUUUUACUUAUAUUGCGAAUAUUGAUUGUGGGCGCGAAGAUGCCAACGUUACUUCGGUGUUCACAUAUAGCCCACCCAAAAUUAAUAGUCCAGUCGCCUCAUACCUUAUCGUCUUUUGUACGCAACAUUAUUUUUUCGUUUUCUUGGUUCAUGACUUCACCUUCGUUGUGUCGUCGUCGUGCGAGGUAAUGGGGAUUUGAGGAGCUGGCCAAGCUCUGGUUGUUUGCAGGUCUAUUAGAAACUCUGCUGUCUACUGUUAUCAGAUUAUAAUGAGUUGAGGUCAGACGCCUAAUAGGGAAGCUGCAUUUGUGCUUUUGCCUAUUUUAUAACAUGGAUAGAAUUAUGAAUUGGAAGUUGAGAUAUGAUGUUCUUAUAAAGUCAAUUGGCCUUCUAUUGGAGCUAUUGCCAUGUGGUGUAUAUGGAAGUUGAGAUGUGAUGUUCUCUUCAGGCAUACUGGGAUUGAUCUGCCACGUGUGAUUCUUAAUACUAAGAGAAUGAUUAACUCCUAUAUUUCUCUUAGUAAUCCUAUUUCUGUUCGGCUGUGUGAUUAUAAACUGCAAGCUUCUGAAGUGAAUCAUUUCAUGUUUGUAGACGCUUCUUAUAAGAAUUUUAAAAUGGGUCUGGGUAUUAUCUGGUAUGACUGUGCAGAGAAUGUGAAUAGCUCGAGGGCUAACGUUGGAUUGAUUUCAGAUGCAGUGGGGGCUGAAGCUGCUGCCCUAAUUUUGGCUUUCUUUUGGGCAGAAGAGAUGAAUCUCUCCAAUAUUGUCUUUGUUUGUGACUGUCUCCAGUUGGUGCAUUUUGUGAAUGGAGUCAGCUGUAAUAUAGAAUGGCAGAACGGUGAUCUUUUAGAACAAUGUCAAAGCUUAUUCUCUAGGUCUUUAUCUUAUAAACUGGUGUAUGUUAAGUGUCGAAACAAUAAGUUAGCAGACAGGCUUGCUCGCAGAGCUAGGUCUGAUAGUCUUAGUGGUCUUUGGUCUCCUCUUCCUCCCUUUUUAACUUUGUUGUUGAGGAAUGAGUACUUUUCGGAUGUUUAUAAUUCCUUCUUUUGUUAAUGGUAUGGUGUGGACCUCGGCAAA